AUGGAAAAUCACAAAAAGUUGCUAAUGAUAACAAUAUAACCUCCUAGAGUAGAAGUAAAAAGUCAUAUGUCUGCUAUGAGAGAACACCCAAAUUGGUAAGCCUUCAUAGAGCUCUCUAAGUGUAAUACGACUUCAAGGUCGCAACCUAUGAGAGUCCACAUAAAGAAGGCUUGUGAAGACUUUAAAAUCAUCCUGUACCAGUACAAAAAUGAAAAAUGGAGACAAAAUGCCCAUCCGUAUAUUAUAUCAACGAGCUACACUGGAGCAAAGUAAUUAGAGAUUUCUAAGCUAUAGCUCAGCUAUGAGUAGACCUCCAUGGUGAGAUUGUGAUGGAUAGAAAUUAACGUAUGUAAAAUGUCUAUUUAUUAUGUGUACCUGUGCUCAUUCAUUACUCAAAAUGGCCGCUAGAGCACCCCCUCCCAUCGACCAUGCUACAGAGAUCCCCCUCUGUCUGAUAUAAUACAGAUACUUUUGUUUUUACAUGGAUACUCUUAUACAAACAAACCUUGUCAUCCAUUCGUAUGCACGAAUAGCCGACCACCCGGCCCUUGUCGUGUGCCGCCAAUUAACCCCGUUCACCUUUAAAACACAGAAUGAACCGAUGAACGGCC